rnacentral:lncRNA from 1 species
CUUGCUGGUAGCUUGCUGUUAUAAAAGGCAUGUUGCAUACGGAAUUGCACAUUGACUGACAGCAUCUGGCCCACCAGGAAGGAAGCUGAGUUUUCUACCACCGCUGCCUUCACGCCCCGAGAGAACGAGCUUAACCCUUUCGGUCUUGCUCAAAAGAAGAGGCAAUCCAUCGCCGUGAUCAUCAAUAUUCCUUCUGUCCUGUGCAAAAAGUCGUAGGGCUCGUACUAUAGUAGCUAUUGCCCAGCUUCUUUUCACGUCUCGCUUUUGCCUCUCCGAUCGAUCACAGCUUACCCCAGAACCCAUGUCAAAUUAAGCCGUAAAUAUAAGUAUUUGGACGUACCCUUGUCAAGGUUUAAAUUUCGGCACCCAGCAAAAGCUCCGAAAAUUACAAAACUUUUGAGAAUUUCGGAAAUUAUAUCUGAUUUCGGUUCUUGAAAAUUCCUGGACGUACACCCAAAUCGUGCUCCAUCGGUUGCAAAAUAUAAAUUUGUUGAGCACUUGUCUUUUGACUCUCAAUUUGCUCGCUUUGUAUGAUCCAUCAUCCAGGUCGCUUACAACCUUUGCACGCCGCGAAGUGUGCCAAAUAUUUUUUUUAUUUUUUUUUUGACAAUCGUGGACAUUAUUGAGAUAUUUUGGCAAUGCUUAAAUCGUGGUCAAACCGGCCAACAAUUUAACCGAAAGGCUAAAAUUAAUCAACGGCCCGUAAUGGACAGAGAAAUUUGACCGGAAUCUGAAAACCCUGCACUCCAUUGAUCCCAGCCAUGUGAAAGGACCAUGGAACUUAUCGCCACGUACGUUCGUUCGUGCCGAGCUUAGGCAAAACAUCACCAGAGAGAAAGAGACCAAUAGUACGUAGUACUACGUGACACAGAGAGAGCAGCUAGAGGCGCAUGCGUCGAGUCCGAUCAAUGGAUCGAUGGAGCGACCUCCCGUCUCGGGCAGGAUGCUCGAGACUCGCACACUAUCGUCCUGUACUCCUGUUGCGCAUCGCCAUGCAUGGCGAUGGAGACAUCGAUGGACGGUGUACUAUACGUACGUACAUGUGCCAAGGCA